CUCCCUACUCCAUAGAUGCUUAAGGAAGGAAGAGUUACCACUCUGUCAAGGGCUGGUUUCUACCAUUAAGUUGUGCUUUUAUUUAAGACUUAAAGUUGAAGAAAAACUGGAUUUAUACCUCUUAGCUUUUGAAUCGAAUAAGAUGCCAUACUUCUGCUGCAAAUUUUGACAUUUCAUUACCCUAACUAGGUAACUUCAUCAAAAUGGUUUUUUUAUGAGAAAUCCAACAAGGAUGGUGCAAUUGAAUAUGAUCUGCACACUUGAGAAGAUGAUCUGUGAUCACUCUUCUGAAGUGCUGGCAUGAUGGCACAGUGGUUAGAAUGCAGUAUUGCAGGCUGACUUUGCCCACUGCCAGCAGUUCAAUCCUGAUGGGGCUCAAGGUUGACUCAGGUUUUCAUCCUUCCAAGAUCAUCUACACUGAAGACUGUUGUGCUAAAAACCUGAAGAUUUCACCUAGACAGCUGAAUUGUCAUGUUGCUGGCCCUAGUGGAUGAAACAUCAUUUCAGAACCAGGAAACAAGUUGGUCUGCAUGAACCUCAGAAUAGCCUCAGGGCUACUUCCAGAGCUCUGAAGCUGACUACAAUCUUGGUUAAGCAAUCUCUGCAAAGCCUUAGCUUUCCUCCAUAGCAAAGCUACAGAAAAGUCAUCAUUCAAGAAAUGUCUACCACAGAUAUCCAUUAGGUUGACUGUGCAGCACUCUUUCCCAUCCCUACUUCUAAUCUAUAUUAUUCUUUGCAAAGAAUAAUGAUAUAAGACAUACAUUGACUGAAAAGAAGGAUGUAUUAAAGAACACACUGUCACCUUCUCCUUCCUGGUCCAAUGGGGCAAGAUAUGUCAGGAUCUCAGCUGCUGUAAAUGGAUGAAUAAUAUUUUCAAGAGUGACUCUAAAA